rnacentral:rRNA from 1 species
AGAGUUUGAUCAUGGCUCGGGAUGAACGCUAGCUACAGGCUUAACACAUGCAAGUCGAGGGGAAACGACAUCGAAAGCUUGCUUUUGAUGGGCGUCGACCGGCGCACGGGUGAGUAACGCGUAUCCAACCUGCCCACCACUUGGGGAUAACCUUGCGAAAGUAAGACUAAUACCCAAUGACGUCUCUAGAAGACAUCUGAAAGAGAUUAAAGAUUUAUCGGUGAUGGAUGGGGAUGGCGUCUGAUUAGCUUGUUGGCGGGGUAACGGCCGACCAAGGCGACGGAUCAGUAGGGGUUCUGGAGAGGAAGGUCCCCCACGAUUGGAACUGAGACACGGUCCAAACUCCUACGGGAGGCA